ACUUCACAUUGGUUUCGUUCUUUCUUGACUGUCAGAUGUGGGAGGCUACUAUAAUACACUGUUGGACUGAUUGGAUCCCUCAGUGAGAUACCACUCUAAUUAGCUAGAAUUCUAACCUUGAUGCCGUUAGCCGGCCCAGGAACAUUUUCAGGCGGGCAGUUUGACUGGGGCCGUCGCCUCCUAAAAAGUAACGGAGGCGUGCAAAGGUUCCUUCAGGCUGGUUGGAAAUCAGUCGUAGAGUGUAAAGGCAAAAAGGAGCUUGACUGUAAGACUGACGAGUCGAACAGGGACAAAAGUCGGCCUUAGUGAUCCGACGGUUCCGAGUGGAAGGGCUGUCGCUCAACGGAUAAAAGUUA
rnacentral:rRNA from 1 species